CAUCAUGGUUAGGGUUAGGGUUCUUCUUUUCAUAAGGGUCAUGGAUAGUUCGGAAGUAGCGGUACCUGAAAAUGACUCAGGGUUUGGCUAUUUUUAGGGCUAGGGUUAGGGUUAAGGUCAGGGUGAUAGAUAGCAUUGAAAUUGAAAUGCCUGUGUGGGUCAAAGUGGGUUGGAAAGUGAGUAUUAGGGUAAGUUCCUGUGGAAGAGGAGGGAGAAUGUCCAAUCACAGUCACCUGGGUAGUAUGAUUUGGUCCUGCGGCUUAGGGUUAGGGUUAGGGUUAGGAGUGCGUUUAGCUUUAGGGUUUCAAUUCAUGUACGUGACGUUUGGAGUGUGGGAAUGGUUGUUAGGUUUAGGGUUCUUCUUUUCGUUAUGGUCAUGUAUGCUGCGGAAGUAGCGGUACUAGAAAAUGACCUAGGGUUCAGCCAGGGUUCGGGCUAGGGUUAGGGUUAGUUUCAGGGUGAUAGAUAUGAUUGAAAUUGAAUUGCCUGUGUCUUCCAAAGCGGGUUGGAAAGUUAGUAUUAGUAAAAUUUCAUGGAGAGGCUGAGGGAAAAUAUAGAAUUUCAAGUACAUGGUUAUUGGGAUUUGGUCCUAUACCUUAGGGUUAGGCUUAGGGCUAGGUGUAGGUUUAUGUUUAGGGUUCCAAUUAAUACACCUGACAUUUCGAGUGUGGCUAGGAUUGUUAGGGUUAGGGUUCUUCUUUUCGUAAGGGUCAUGCAUAGUGUGGAAAUAGCGGUACC
rnacentral:lncRNA from 1 species